rnacentral:misc_RNA from 1 species
GAAGGAUCAUUAUCGAGUUAGACCGGGAAGGGGUUUCCUCGGACUCUCCUUCCUAGUUUUCCUUAUUUCACCUGUGCACCCUCUGUAGGCCCUCGAGAGAGGAUCUUUGUUUUCUAUAAUCUACUCUAUCGCAUGUCCAGAACGUAUACAUACAAACUUUU